rnacentral:rRNA from 1 species
AUUGAACGCUGGCGGCAGGCCUAACACAUGCAAGUCGAACGAGUGGCGGACGGGUGAGUAAUGUCUGGGAAACUGCCCGAUGGAGGGGGAUAACUACUGGAAACGGUAGCUAAUACCGCAUACCAUCGGAUGUGCCCAGAUGGGAUUAGCUAGUAGGUGUGGUAACGGCUAACCUAGGCGACGAUCCCUAGCUGGUCUGAGAGGAUGACAAGCCACACGGGAACUGAGACACGGUCCAGACUCCUACGGGAGGAAGCAGUGGGGAAUAUGGCAAAAUGGGCGCAAGCCUGAUGCAGCCAUGCCGCGUGUAUGAAGAAGGCCGUCGGGUUGGAAAGUACUUGCAGCGAGGAGGCGUUACUCGCAGAAGAAGCACCGGCUAACUACGUGCCAGCAGCCGCGGUAAUAC